UUUUAUUUGAGAGUUUGAUCCUGGCUCAGGAUGAACGCUGGCGGCGUGCCUAACACAUGCAAGUUGAGCGAUUUACUUCGGUAAAGAGCGGCGGACGGGUGAGUAACGCGUGGGUAACCUACCCUGUACACACGGAUAACAUACCGAAAGGUAUGCUAAUACGGGAUAAUAUAUUUGAGAGGCAUCUCUUAAAUAUCAAAGGUGAGCCAGUACAGGAUGGACCCGCGUCUGAUUAGCUAGUUGGUAAGGUAACGGCUUACCAAGGCAACGAUCAGUAGCCGACCUGAGAGGGUGAUCGGCCACAUUGGAACUGAGACACGGUCCAAACUCCUACGGGAGGCAGCAGUGGGGAAUAUUGCACAAUGGGCGAAAGCCUGAUGCAGCAACGCCGCGUGAGUGAUGAAGGCCUUCGGGUCGUAAAACUCUGUCCUCAAGGAAGAUAAUGACGGUACUUGAGGAGGAAGCCCCGGCUAA
rnacentral:rRNA from 1 species